UACAGAGGUCUCAAGCGUUGUUCGGAUUUAUUGGGCGUAAAGGGUGCGUAGGCGGCAGAUCAAGCUAGAUGCGAAGUACCCGGGCUCAACCCGGGAACUGCAUUUAAUACUGCUCUGCUCGAGUAUUAGAGAAGAAGCUGGAAUUUACGGUGUAGCAGUGAAAUGCGUAGAUAUCGUAAAGAACGUCAGUGGCGAAAGCGAGCUUCUAGAUAAUUACUGACGCUGAGGCACGAAAGCUAGGGGAGCAAACGGG
rnacentral:rRNA from 1 species